AGUUCACACGGCAGCAUC
rnacentral:miRNA from 1 species